UGCAAGUCGAGCGGUAAGGCCCUUCGGGGUACACGAGCGGCGAACGGGUGAGUAACACGUGGGUGAUCUGCCCUGCACUUCGGGAUAAGCCUGGGAAACUGGGUCUAAUACCGGAUAUGACCUUGGACUGCAUGGUUCUUGGUGGAAAGGUUUACUGGUGCAGGAUGGGCCCGCGGCCUAUCAGCUUGUUGGUGGGGUAAUGGCCUACCAAGGCGACGACGGGUAGCCGGCCUGAGAGGGCGACCGGCCACACUGGGACUGAGACACGGCCCAGACUCCUACGGGAGGCAGCAGUGGGGAAUAUUGCACAAUGGGCGAAAGCCUGAUGCAGCGACGCCGCGUGAGGGAUGACGGCCUUCGGGUUGUAAACCUCUUUCAGCAGGGACGAAGCGAGAGUGACGGUACCUGCAGAAGAAGCACCGGCCAACUACGUGCCAGCAGCCGCGGUAAUACGUAGGGUGCGAGCGUUGUCCGGAAUUACUGGGCGUAAAGAGCUCGUAGGCGGUUUGUCGCGUCGUCCGUGAAAACUUGGGGCUCAACCCCAAGCUUGCGGGCGAUACGGGCAGACUUGAGUACUGCAGGGGAGACUGGAAUUCCUGGUGUAGCGGUGAAAUGCGCAGAUAUCAGGAGGAACACCGGUGGCGAAGGCGGGUCUCUGGGCAGUAACUGACGCUGAGGAGCGAAAGCGUGCGUAGCGAACAGGAUUAGA
rnacentral:rRNA from 1 species